CUCAUCCACAAAGAGGAAAGGAGAACAGAGAUUGGGGACUGAGCUCGGGGUGGGGGGGGAAGAGUGUCCCCUGGGGAGGGAAGGUGGCCAGAGAUGGUGAAGCUCAAUUAGCCAAUCAGAUCUGGAAUCCGAGAAUAUUUCCAGCAGUUGUGCCAACUAAAAAGAUGCCCCAGGAACCCAAGAGAGACGCUCUCACUGCAACCAUGAGGCAGAAUUAAGGGGGAGAAUUGACAUCAGUAAAUGUGAGUGAGGAGUUCAGUGGCUCUGGGAAGGAGGGAGGUUUGGUCCUAUGCGACAGCAUCCAAGAGGAAGCCUUUUGGGUGUCGAAAGAAGGCAUGUCUGUACAUAUUGCUCAAUAAAGGAACAGAAAGGAAGAGAAUGAGCAGUACUUGGGUGCAGAAGAGAAUGUGGAAGAAAUGGCAUUGUGUAGAAAAGAAAGAAUGGAAAAGGGAAGGAGUAAACAGGGGAGGAGAGAACAAAGGAAGUGAUGACUUUAUGGCAAUAGUCACCACACCCGACUUGCACGGACCACCAGACACAAGAUUCCACAUGUCAGUGAAAGCAUUUGAUGUUGGUGUCUCAUUGUAUGGCUGACUUCACUUAGCAGGAUAGUUUCUAGGGAUGCUGAAGAAGAUACAAGACAUUGGAAAUAAACUGGAGGCAAAGAUGGAUAACUUACAGGAAACACUGACCAAAGAGAUACAAGAUGUAAAACUUAAACAAGAAGAGAUGCAAAAUACAAUACGAUGUACUUUUGUAACCAAA